UUCAUUUCAAAUCACUUAUUGCGCCAAAACUGCAAUUGAACAAGUUGCAAAUUUCCCCAAAGUAUCAGACGGAAAACACCAUUAUACAAAAGCCGAAAUGAUAAGUUACAGAAAAAUUACUCAGAUUUGGCGUCGGACUCUGAAGCUCCGGCGGCAGCGGGUUGACCCGAUUCAUCACUGGCAAAGGACCACUCCGAUGGUAAGGGAGGUAACGGAGCAUAAACAGCUGGUCCACGUCGAAUAUCCCAAGCUUGAGUCUUCCGUGGACGUGUCUUCUUAUGGUGAGCUGUAGCCUUCUUCUGUGGCCUAGAUGAGCACUCAAUUACCAAUCCCCCAAUACUUGUGGGUGCCGACGCCAACCUGGUGGCUCCGCCGGUGAAUCCGGUCGCUGAAACAGUUGAGGAACGCGGCAACACCGCCAUCUGCAACCCGAAUAUGGCGGAGGCUGACAUUUUCUUUUUUCUUCUCUUCAAAGGUUUUUCCUUCUUCUG
rnacentral:misc_RNA from 1 species